AGUGGGGAUGCCGCAUCGGGAANAGUCGGGANAGCUCNGUUGGUAAAGCAAAGGACUGAAAAUCCUC
rnacentral:tRNA from 1 species